GUCCACGCCGUAAACGAUGGAUGCUAGCCGUUGGCCAGCUUGCUGGUCGGUGGCGCAGCUAACGCUUUAAGCAUCCCGCCUGGGGAGUACGGCCGCAAGGUUAAAACUCAAAGGAAUUGACGGGGGCCCCGCACAAGCGGUGGAGCAUGUGGUUUAAUUCGACGCAACGCGAAGAACCUUACCAGCCCUUGACAUGAACCGGAAGCUCCGCAGAGAUGUGGGGCGCCGCAAGGCCGGUUCACAGGUGUUGCAUGGCUGUCGU
rnacentral:rRNA from 1 species